UACGAAGGGGGCUAGCGUUGUUCGGAAUUACUGGGCGUAAAGCGCACGUAGGCGGAUUGUUAAGUUAGGGGUGAAAUCCCAGGGCUCAACCCUGGAACUGCCUUUAAUACUGGCAAUCUCGAGUCCGAGAGAGGUGAGUGGAAUUCCGAGUGUAGAGGUGAAAUUCGUAGAUAUUCGGAAGAACACCAGUGGCGAAGGCGGCUCACUGGACUGGUAUUGACGCUGAGGUGCGAAAGCGUGGGGAGCAAACAGGG
rnacentral:rRNA from 1 species